rnacentral:rRNA from 1 species
AAGUCGUAACAAGGUUUCCGUAGGUGAACCUGCGGGAGGAUCAUUAUUGGAUAAGCUUGGUUGGGUUGUUGCUGGCUCUCAGGGGCAUGUGCACGCCUAACACCAACUUUUACCACCUGUGCACAUUUUGUAGACCUGGAUAAAACUCUCGAGGAAACUCGGUUUGAGGAAUGCUGUGCGCAAGCCAGCUUUCCUUGUACUUCUGGUCUAUGUUUUUAUAUAUACACACACCCCUAUAGUAUGUCUCGGAAUGUUUGUUUGUUGGGCUUGAAUGCCUUUAAACUUAAUACAACUUUCAACAACGGAUCUCUUGGCUCUCGCAUCGAUGAAGAACGCAGCGAAAUGCGAUAAGUAAUGUGAAUUGCAGAAUUCAGUGAAUCAUCGAAUCUUUGAACGCACCUUGCGCUCCUUGGUAUUCCGAGGAGCAUGCCUGUUUGAGUGUCAUGAAAUUCUCAACCUUUUCAGCUUUUUCUGUUGAUCAGGCUUGGAUGUGGGAGUAUGCGGGCUUCUCAGAAGUCGGCUCUCCUGAAAUGCAUUAGCGGGACCUUUGUUGCCUUGCUUUGGUGUGAUAAUUAUCUACGCCAUUCGUGAAGAGCAGCUUUAUAAACGGGGUUCAGCUUCUAAAGGUCUCUUUUGAGACAACUUCUGACAAUUUGACCUCAANUCAGGUAGGACUACCCGCUGACUUNAGCAUAUCAAUAAGCGGAGGAAAAGAAACUAACAAGGAUUCCCCUAGUAACUGCGAGUGAAGCGGGAAAAGCUCAAAUUUAAAAUCUGAGGGUCUUUAUGGCCUUCCGAGUUGUAAUCUAGAGAAGUGCUAUCCGCGCUGGACCGUGUACAAGUCUCCUGGAACGGAGCGUCAUAGAGGGUGAGAAUCCCGUCUUUGACACGGACUACCAGGGCUUAUGUGAUACGCUCUCAAAGAGUCGAGUUGUUUGGGAAUGCAGCUCUAAAUGGGUGGUAAAUUCCAUCUAAAGCUAAAUAUUGGCGAGAGACCGAUAGCGAACAAGUACCGUGAGGGAAAGAUGAAAAGAACUUUGGAAAGAGAGUUAAAAAGUACGUGAAAUUGUUGAAAGGGAAACGCUUGAAGUCAGUCGCAUUGGCCAGGGAUCAACCUUGCUUUUGCUUGGUGUAUUUUCUGGUUAAUGGGUCAGCAUCAAUUUUGAUCGGUGGAAAAAGAUCAAGGGAAUGUGGCAUCUUCGGAUGUGUUAUAGCCCUUGGUUGUAUACAUCGAUUGGGAUUGAGGAACUCAGCACGCCGCAAGGCCGGGUUUUUAACCACGUACGUGCUUAGGAUGCUGGCAUAAUGGCUUUAAUCGACCCGUCUUGAAACACGGACC